rnacentral:rRNA from 1 species
GACGAACGCUGGCGGCGUGCCUAACACAUGCAAGUCGAACGAAAAGGCCCUGCUUUUGUGGGGUGCUCGAUUGGCGAACGGGUGAGUAACACGUGUGUAACCUGCCCUUGACUUUGUGAUAACUUCAGGGAACUGCGGCUAAUACCGCAUAGGAUCUCUUGCUGCAUGGUGGUCGUUGGAAAGUUUCGGCGGUUGGGGAUGGUCUCGCGGCUUAUCAGCUUGUUUGGGUGGUAGUGGCUUACCAAGGCUUUGACGGGUAGCCGGCAUGGGAGGGUGACCGGCCACCUUAGGACUGAGAUAGGGACCAGAAUCGAACGGGAGGCAACAGUGGGGAAUAUUGCAGAAUGGGGGGGAGCGUGUUGCAGAAGCGCCGCGUGCGGGAUACCGGCCUUCGGGUUGUGAACAGCUUUCGCCUGUGACGAAGAGUGAGUGACGGUAAUGGGUCAAGAAGCACCGGCUAACUACGUG